GGCUUGAUGGUCUAGUAGUAUGAUUCCUUCUUAGGGUCUUUGGUUGUUUGGAGGAGGUCCCGGGUUCAAUUCCCGGUCAAGCCC